rnacentral:rRNA from 1 species
GGGGGGGACUGCGCGUGCUACCAUGCAAGUCGAACGGAAAGGCCCUGCUUUUGUGGGGUGCUCGAGUGGCGAACGGGUCAUUUACACGUGAGUAACCUGCCCUUGACUUUGGGAUAACUUCACCAUACUGGGGCUAAUACCGGAUAGGAGCUCCUGCUGCAUGGUGGGGGUUGGAAAGUUUCGGCGGUUGGGGAUGGACUCGCGGCUUAUCAGCUUGUUGGUGGGGUAGUGGCUUACCAAGGCUUUGACGGGUAGCCGGCCUGAGAGGGUGACCGGCCACAUUGGGACUGAGAUACGGCCCAGACUCCUACGGGAGGCAGCAGUGGGGAAUAUUGCACAAUGGGCGGAAGCCUGAUGCAGCAACGCCGCGUGCGGGAUGACGGCCUUCGGGUUGUAAACCGCUUUCGCCUGUGACGAAGCGUGAGUGACGGUAAUGGGUAAAGAAGCACCGGCUAACUACGUGCCAGCAGCCGCGGUGAUACGUAGGGUGCGAGCGUUGUCCGGAUUUAUUGGGCGUAAAGGGCUCGUAGGUGGUUGAUCGCGUCGGAAGUGUAAUCUUGGGGCUUAACCCUGAGCGUGCUUUCGAUACGGGUUGACUUGAGGAAGGUAGGGGAGAAUGGAAUUCCUGGUGGAGCGGUGGAAUGCGAAGAUAUCAGGAGGAACACCAGUGGCGAAGGCGGUUCUCUGGGCCUUUCCUGACGCUGAGGAGCGAAAGCGUGGGGAGCGAACAGGCUUAGAUACCCUGGUAGUCCACGCUGUAAAACGGUGGGUACUAGGUGUGGGGGUCCAUUCAACGGGUUCCGUGCCGGUAGCUAACGCUUUAAGUACCCCCGCCUGGGGGAGUCGGGCCGCAAGGGUAAAACUCAAA